rnacentral:rRNA from 1 species
GAUUAACGCUGGCGGCGUGCAUAACACAUGCAAGUCGAACGAUGAAACUUAACUGAUUUCUUCGGAAUGAUUUUAAGUGGAUUAGUGGCGGACGGGUGAGUAACGCGUGAGUAACCUGCCUUGGAGAAGGGGAUAGCCUUUGGAAACGAAGAAUAAUACCCUAUGAUAUGAUUAUAUCUCAUGAUAUUCUCCUCAAAGAUUUAUCGCUCUAAGAUGGACUUGCGUCUGAUUAGUUAGUUGGUGAGUUAACAGCUCACCAAGGCAGCGAUCAGUAGCCGGCUUGAGAGAGGGUACGGACACAUUGGGACGGAGACACGGCCCAGACUCCGACGGGGGGCGGCAGUGGGGAAUUGUGAACAAUGGGGGAAAACCUGAGGCAGCGACGCCGCGUGAUUUAGAAGGCCUUCGGGUUGUAAAAAUCUUUUGAAGGGGAAGAAAAUGACAGUACCAUACAAAUAAGGACCGGCUAAUUACGG